GGGUUUUUAGACAAAGAGAAAUGGCACCGGUUCAGAUCAAACCGGUGCCAAAAAUACAAAUGGAAAAAAAAACCGGUUCAUCACAUUAUUAACCCUAAAUAUACUCGGUCACUCCGGCUCUUUAUUCAUUCCCUCAUAUCUCCUUCUCUCUCCUCUCUCCCUUCUCUCCUCCUCUCCCUUCUCUCUCCUCUCAUCUCCCAUAUUCGAUCUCCUCUCUCUUAACCGAUCUUCUUUCAUCUCCUCUCCCUAGCUUCUUCGAUCUACUCUCUUUCUUUGAUCUACACCACCACAAAUUCGACCACCACCACAAAGCCCACCACCACAACAUCACCACUGCCGCAAAGCCGCCGCAAAGCCGCCGCCGCCACCACAAAGGUCGACCACCGCUGCAAAGCCCACCAACAUCAACAUCAACAACAAUUUCUGGGUAUCCUUCGAGGUGAAGAAUCAAAGUGUUGAUUUUGGAAUUUUUAUUUUAUUGUUGUAAUUUUUUUUCGUUGUCUUAUUAAGGAUGGCAUCAAAUGAGUUAGUACGAAGUACAUAUAAACCAAGAUGUAAGUGUGAAGAAUGAGGAAUUGAGGAUAGCAUCUAUACCCAUAAAUUCUUGUCAUAGCCGACUAAUGGCGUGUCAAAAGUUGGUGGUUAGAUAAAGGAUCUCGGAAAAAAGGGUCUCAUAAUCUUGAAAUACCAAGUAAUUUUUUUUUUCUUUGAUGAUGAUGAUGAAUGAGAAGAUGAUGAUGAUCAACUGUUAAAAAAAUACAAGUAAAUGCAACUAGCUAAUCAAUCAAUUAGCUAAUUAAAGAAAAAUUUUAGUACUUUUUGAGUAUUAUGCUUUAUUACUCAAAAAGAAAAUUUAAGGUAAAGAAAAUACUUGUAUAAGAUAAAUGAAAAGCUUUAAAAGUGGCCGUGCUUAGUACUAACGGGGUGAGUAUAAAUUUUGUAAACAUCUUUAAAUGUUUAUUUAUUUAUUUAUUUUGGGUGCACAUGGGGGCCUAGGCCCCAGACUAUUAAACGCGAAAAACAAAAUCAAGGAGAUAUAGAACAUGUUAACUAUAUCAUUAUGCAAAAUACGACCUUAAGUUAAAAGGGGAUUUGAAUCAACUCGAUAAUGUUGUUUUGUAUAAUUUCUUGAUUGACUAGCCAAUAUGCUGCUCUAUUUCCUUCACUAUAGAUAUGCUUAAUCUCCACUUCCCAGCUCAGAUUAGCUAUUUAAUUUUUGCAAUUAGCAUGCAUUUAUGAUGGAUUGUUAGUGUUUGUAAUUGUCAUUGUAAUUGUUAGUUUGGAUUUAAAGUAGCCAAUAUUAUUCUGUAAACUUUACUAUUCUCAAGUUCAAUUAAAAUUUCCUUCCCUACCAA